rnacentral:rRNA from 1 species
UAAGGAAUAUUGGUCAAUGGAGGCAACUCUGAACCAGCCAUGCCGCGUGCAGGAAGACGGCCCUACGGGUUGUAAACUGCUUUUGUACCGGAAUAAACCCCCGUAUGUAUACGGGGCUGAAUGUACGGUAAGAAUAAGGAUCGGCUAACUCCGUGCCAGCAGCCGCGGUAAUACGGAGGAUCCAAGCGUUAUCCGGAUUUAUUGGGUUUAAAGGGUGCGUAGGCGGCCUAUUAAGUCAGGGGUGAAAGACGGUGGCUCAACCAUCGCAGUGCCUUUGAUACUGAUGGGCUUGAAUGAACCUGAGGUAGGCGGAAUGUGACAAGUAGCGGUGAAAUGCAUAGAUAUGUCACAGAACACCAAUUGCGAAGGCAGCUUACUAAAGUUUAAUUGACGCUGAGGCACGAAAGCGUGGGGAUCAAACA